UGCAGUCUAUGAUGAAGAUUGUAUAUUGUACUGAUCUAUAUGUGAUUAACAUAAACAAUUUCACCAUCUUUCGACUGAGUCUGCC